GACAGAGGGUGCAACCGUUGUUCGGAAUUACUGGGCGUAAAGCGUGUGUAGGCGGUCCUCUAAGUCGGGUGUGAAAGCCCUGGGCUCAACCCAGGAAGUGCACUCGAAACUGGAGGGCUAGAGUAUCGGAGAGGUUGGUGGAAUUCUCGGUGUAGAGGUGAAAUUCGUAGAUAUCGAGAGGAACACCGGUGGCGAAGGCGGCCAACUGGACGAAUACUGACGCUGAGACACGAAAGCGUGGGGAGCAAACAGG
rnacentral:rRNA from 1 species